UAGUGGGCGAUUGUUACUCUUAACGAUCGAUUGUGAAUUGAAACCACAUUUCAAUUCUCCCUUAAAAUCAGUGUUUGUUAAUCUUUAGGGCUUCCACAAACCAUGAGUGACACCUAGCAGCAUAUCAUGGUUACCCAAGCUAAGUAUAAGUGGUUGGAGAACCUAUCCAGUUACAACUACAAUGCAAUACGGUCCUUCUCUAAUACAAUACUCUUAAUCACAUUGUUUCAGGUGAUAGUUUGUUUCAUGUCUACUAUCCAAUGUGAUACUUAUCUAUAUGAUUCAUUUGAAUAUGAUUUGGAACAAACUUCCUAAGUCAUAUUCAUAUGCUUUGGCCAAAGACUCUCGAAUCAUAUCUUAGAGUAUUCUCCUUCCACCAUGGAAGGUUAGAGAUUCCUUGUUGUGCAUUCAUAUGCCUACAUGACUACGUAGCUUGACCACAACAAUGCCGUGGACACUCCAAUGGAAUGCCUUUGACAUGAUCAAAGAUCAAGGACCUAACCAUUAGACAUCAAUGAUGCCUCAGGUCAAAGGUCUACUUUGCAUAUUUCAACUUUCGAGUUCUUACAUGACAUGUAUGUUCGAACUCUCUUUUGAUCGUUGUUCAGUGU
rnacentral:lncRNA from 1 species